UACGUAGGGUGCGAGCGUUAAUCGGAAUUACUGGGCGUAAAGCGUGCGUAGGCGGUUCGUUAAGUCAGCUGUGAAAGCCCCGGGCUCAACCUGGGAACUGCGGUUGAAACUGGCGAACUAGAAUCUGGCAGAGGGGGGUGGAAUUCCACGUGUAGCAGUGAAAUGCGUAGAGAUGUGGAGGAACACCGAUGGCGAAGGCAGCCCCCUGGGCUGAGAUUGACGCUGAGGCGCGAAAGCCAGGGGAGCGAACGGG
rnacentral:rRNA from 1 species